GAUGAACGCUGGCGGCGUGCCUAAUACAUGCAAGUCGAGCGAACGGACGAGAAGCUUGCUUCUCUGAUGUUAGCGGCGGACGGGUGAGUAACACGUGGAUAACCUACCUAUAAGACUGGGAUAACUUCGGGAAACCGGAGCUAAUACCGGAUAAUAUUUUGAACCGCAUGGUUCAAAAGUGAAAGACGGUCUUGCUGUCACUUAUAGAUGGAUCCGCGCUGCAUUAGCUAGUUGGUAAGGUAACGGCUUAGCAAGGCAACGAUGCAUAGCCGACCUGAGAGGGUGAUCGGCCACACUGGAACUGAGACACAGUCCAGACUCCGACGGGAGGCAGCAGUAGGGAAUCUUCCGCAAUGGGCGAAAGCCUGACGGAGCAACGCCGCGUGAGUGAUGAAGGUCUUCGGAUCGUAAAACUCUGUUAUUAGGGAAGAACAUAUGUGUAAGUACCUGUGCACAUCUUGACGGUACCUAAUCAGAAAGCCACGGCUAACUACGUG
rnacentral:rRNA from 1 species